CCUACGGGCGGCAGCAGUGGGGAAUAUUGCACAAUGGGGGAAACCCUGAUGCAGCGACGCCGCGUGAGUGAGGAAGUAUUUCGGUAUGUAAAGCUCUAUCAGCAGGGAAGAAAAUGACGGUACCUGACUACGAAGCCCCGGCUAACUACGUGCCAGCAGCCGCGGUAAUACGUAGGGGGCAAGCGUUAUCCGGAUUUACUGGGUGUAAAGGGAGCGUAGACGGUUAAUCAAGUCAGCAGUGAAAACCGAGGGCUUAACCUUGGGACUGCUUUUGAAACUGAGUAGCUAGAGUGCAGGAGAGGUAAGCGGAAUUCCUAGUGUAGCGGUGAAAUGCGUAGAUAUUAGGAGGAACACCAGUGGCGAAGGCGGCUUACUGGACUGUAACUGACGUUGAGGCUCGAAAGCGUGGGGAGCAAACAGGAUUAGAUACCCGAGUAGUC
rnacentral:rRNA from 1 species